UGCAAAGCGCUCUGCUGCCGCCACCGUGUGUUCUGGCUUCCCACACGCGCUGCCAUUUCCAAGCUCCAGACGGAUGCUGAGGGGACUGGUACCCACCCCGACCCUGUGACUUUCAAUCAAGCAGACACCCUAUUAGCAGGUGGGGUUCCAAGCAUCUUGCUGGCUGCCUGGUACUACAACCCAUGUCUUUCUCACCCGGAUGCUGGCUGGAGAUGUAGGGCUGAAGGUGGUGGCGUUGCCGGAGCAGACGGUCACUGUAACUCUGGGAAUUAUCAGCCUUUAAACGACAGAUGAGGUUCAAAAGCCGUCAAGUGUUCUACAGCUGUCGGGGGAUCAGUGUUGUCAUUCUGUUAGUUCAGCAUUAAUUUGAGGAGGUGAUAAGAUCUUAAUGCGCGUCAGGGGUUGGUGCCACGAAGCUAGCUGGCUCCGUAAUAAAUGUUCCUUCCAGAUUAUCUUGUUUAAUCUGCACCAGCACCUUCCAGUGAGGAACUUUUCUAAUGCCCAUUUUAUGGAUGAGAAAACUCAACACUGGAGAAGGUAAACACCUUGAAUAAAGCCACAGAACUAAUAAAUGAUCGUUCCCGGAUCACACCAAAGUCUGCACCAACCCAAGCGUUUCACUAAUGUUGCCAGCUCUCUGACAUCCUGGGAAUGAAAGUCUCUGCCUGCCCUCCCACCCCCGCCAAUUCUACCUCUUUGCUUGGCAUGUACAAGCACUCAGUAAAUAUUUUUGGAUUGAUUGAUCACGAAUUGAAUGAGGCUGGAAGUAUGGCAUCUGCCGCCCGGCAUGAGAAGGAACUUAGCUGGACCAGAUCAUCUGAGUUCGUGGAGGUCCCGGGGCUGACACGAUGGUUUGACAGCCACUGGAUGUCAGGCUCUGGAAACCAUUUCUGAGAUUGUCUAACGAGCACGAGCUGUCACAGAGAGAGAAGCACUUGGCUGUGUCAAACCUAGAAUAGCACCAUCUCCAUCAGAACUGAAUAUCUCCCCUUCGACCUUCAGAUGCAGCUCACAUAUCACUUCCUUUGCAAAGAUCCUCUUAAUUGUCCCAGACAAGAUAACAACCCUCUUAUUAUCUGCAGCCUCAGGAAGAGAACAAAGCAGACCAGGCCGUUAGGGGACUGAAAUUACGCAUUUAACUUCAUGAACAUUGGGUCUACGUGGCCUCAUUCGUUCAACAUAUAUUUAUAAGUAGCCCUAUGCCACAUACUGCUCUCAGCACUGGGGACGCAUCAGUGAACAAAACGGUCCAAAUGUCUGCACUUAACGCAGCUUACUUUCUGAUGAGGUCAUCGUCUGACUCCCUGGCCCGUACAAUAUGGAUUUCGGCGUGACUUUGGACAAGCUGAUAAAACUCUCUGAAGGUGAAUUUCCUCGUCUGUCAAAUGUGUUCCUUGUGCUAUUUGUGCUUCCCCAGUUCUCCUGGUCUUGAGAGUCACCGGGAAUACUUGACAAGCAUAAGCCCCUCCCACAGGGACUCUGAUUCGGUAUGUCUGGACCAGCCUUGUCCAGCAGAAUGGAAUAUGAGCCAUUCAUGUCAUUUCUAAUGUUCUCACA